AGAGAUGCCUAACCAAUAGCUUAAUUUUUUAGCGACGAUAUUACAAAAUGUAGUUUUUCUGAUUCUCUUUUUCUGAUUCUCGGGGCAUUUUUCUUGUUCAAUAAACAUGUGGUAUAAAUACGUAAAAACAUACAUUUUUUCCCAUCAAUUUAUUUCUUAUGUUUUAUAUAUGUGUGUGCGUGUGUGCGUGUGUGUGUGAGAGAGAACAAGAGAGAGAGAGUGAGGAGAGAGAGAGAAAAAAAAGGAGAAAGAUAUACAGAUAAAGUGAUGUUAUAAAUAAAACUCCAUGUAAGUAAUUGUAUCUGUGCUCUAUUAAACAUCUCAUUUUU
rnacentral:sRNA from 1 species